CCCUUAGACGUUCUGGGCCGCACGCGCGCUACACUGACCAGUGCAACAAGCAUCCGUCCUUGGCCGACAGGCUCGGGCAAUCUUUGAACGCUGGUCGUGAUGGGGAUAGACUUUUGCAAUUUUUGGUCUUCAACGAGGAAUUCCUAGUAAACGCAAGUCAUCAACUUGCAUUGAUUACGUCCCUGCCCUUUGUACACACCGCCCGUCGCACCUACCGAUUGAAUGGUCCGGUGAAGCCUCCGGAUUGGCGCGCACCUCGGUGCCGCCGAGAAGUUGGCUAAACCUUACCAUUUAGAGGAAGGAGAAGUCGUAACA
rnacentral:rRNA from 1 species